rnacentral:rRNA from 1 species
UACGAAGGGGGCUAGCGUUGCUCGGAUUUACUGGGCGUAAAGCGCACGUAGGCGGAUCGUUAAGUCGGGGGUGAAAUCCUGGAGCUCAACUCCAGAACUGCCUUCGAUACUGGCGAUCUAGAGUCCGGAAGAGGUGAGUGGAACUCCUAGUGUAGAGGUGGAAUUCGUAGAUAUUAGGAAGAACACCAGUGGCGAAGGCGGCUCACUGGUCCGGUACUGACGCUGAGGUGCGAAAGCGUGGGGAGCAAACAGG